rnacentral:rRNA from 1 species
UACGUAGGGGGCUAGCGUUGUCCGGAUUUAUUGGGCGUAAAGAGCGCGUAGGCGGCCAAGUAGGUCCGUUGUGAAAACUGGAGGCUUAACCUCCAGCUGUCGAUGGAAACCAUUUGGCUAGAGUCCGGAAGAGGAGAGUGGAAUUCCUGGUGUAGCGGUGAAAUGCGCAGAUAUCAGGAGGAACACCAAUAGCGAAGGCAGCACACUGGUACGUGACUGACGCUGAGACGCGAAAGCGUGGGGAGCAAACAGG